UACGUAGGGUGCAAGCGUUGUCCGGAAUUAUUGGGCGUAAAGAGCUCGUAGGCGGUUUGUCGCGUCUGGUGUGAAAAUCCAGGGCUUAACCCUGGACCUGCAUCGGGUACGGGCAGACUAGAGUGCGGUAGGGGAGAUCGGAAUUCCUGGUGUAGCGGUGAAAUGCGCAGAUAUCAGGAGGAACACCGGUGGCGAAGGCGGCUUUCUGGGCCUUACCUGACGCUGAGGAGCGAAAGCUGGGGGAGCAAACAGG
rnacentral:rRNA from 1 species